UGGAAGACUUAAGAUGGCGGCGUUUGCACGGAGUGCAAUCACUGCGUCCUUACGGGGGUUGCAAGGCGUCCGAAGUAUGAGUCCACUAACAAAAGUCCAGAAACUCGCCAGUUAAUAGUAUUGUGAUGGAGUUCGCUCUUGUUGCCCAGGCUGGAAUGCAAUGGCAUGACCUUGGCUCACUGCAACCUCUGCCUCCCCAGUUCAAGUGGUUCUCCUGCCUCAGCCUCCCGAGUAGCUGAGAUUACAGGCUGGAGUGCAGUGGCGCAAUCUCGGCUCUCUGCAACCUUCACCUCCCGUGUUCAAGUGAUUCUCCUGCCUCAGCCUCCUGAAUACCUGAGAUUACAAGCAUGCACCACCACGCCCGUCUAAUUUUGUAUUUUCACUAGAGACGGGGUUUCUCCAUGUUGGUCAGGCUGGUCUCGAACUCCCGACCUCAGGUGAUCCGCCCGCCUCAGCCUCCCAAAGUGCUGGGAUUACAGGCAUGAGCCACCGCGUCCAGCAAGAAUAGGUGAUUUUCAAACUUGGAAACAUUCAGAAGUUAUCGCCUCAGUUUCAGAUUGAGUAGUCUCAAAGAGAUUACAGACAUCUACCACAAAUUCUCUACUUGGUGUGGUGCAAAAUCAGUAUGAUGUAAACUUUGUCUCUCAGUUUCUUCAAAGGAAAGAAGCAACUGGAACACACAUAUAACACUAACCCUUCCAGCUGCAUUAUGAGGGACCAGUACCUGUCUCAAGGCAAAAUUAUGACUUAGUUCAUCCUCACCUCUGGAGGCCAGUAAAAGUGGGUUAUAGAAGAACAAAGAGGCAUCUAGAUCUUUCACUGGGUUAUUUGGAGAGAAACAUCUCCUACCGAAGGCCAGUUUAACAAGACUGGUAGAGGAGGUUAUCUUAUCUAAUUCACAGAAAUCAACACAUUGAGUCAAGAAAAAUGAAACACAGAAACACUCUAAAUAAAAGAAGAUAAGUCUUCAGAAACCAACCCUAAUGAAAUGAAGAUAUGUGAUUAACCUGACAGGAAAUUAAAAAGAGCAACCAUAAAGAGUCUCAUGGGAGCAAUGCAUGAACAAACUGAGAAUUUUCAUAAAGAAAUAAAAGAUAACAAAAAGUAUAAAGUUGAAGAAUACAAUAACUGGACUCAAAAAUUUAAUGUGUCCAACAGAAGAAUCGAUGAAGCAGAAGAAAGGGCUAUCAAACUUGUAGAUAGGCCAUUGGAAAUCAUGUAAUGUGAGGAGAAAAAAGAAAAAA
rnacentral:lncRNA from 1 species